UUAAGUUAUUAAGGGCGCACGGUGGAUGCCUUGGCACUAGAAGCCGAUGAAGGACGUUACUAACGACGAUAUGCUUUGGGGAGCUGUAAGUAAGCUUUGAUCCAGAGAUUUCCGAAUGGGGAAACCCAGCAUGAGUUAUGUCAUGUUAUCGAUAUGUGAAUACAUAGCAUAUCAGAAGGCACACCCGGAGAACUGAAACAUCUUAGUACCCGGAGGAAGAGAAAGAAAAUUCGAUUCCCUUAGUAGCGGCGAGCGAAACGGGAAGAGCCCAAACCAAAAAGCUUGCUUGUUGGGGUUGUAGGACACUCUAUACGGAGUUACAAAGGACGACAUUAGACGAAUCAUCUGGAAAGAUGAAUCAAAGAAGGUAAUAAUCCUGUAGUCGAAAAUGUUGUCUCUCUUGAGUGGAUCCUGAGUACGACGGAGCACGUGAAAUUCCGUCGGAAUCUGGGAGGACCAUCUCCUAAGGCUAAAUACUCUCUAGUGACCGAUAGUGAACCAGUACCGUGAGGGAAAGGUGAAAAGCACCCCGGAAGGGGAGUGAAAUAGAACCUGAAACCGUGUGCUUACAAGUAGUCAGAGCCCGUUAAUGGGUGAUGGCGUGCCUUUUGUAGAAUGAACCGGCGAGUUACGAUUUGAUGCAAGGUUAAGCAGUAAAUGUGGAGCCGUAGCGAAAGCGAGUCUGAAUAGGGCGUUUAGUAUUUGGUCGUAGACCCGAAACCAGGUGAUCUACCCUUGGUCAGGUUGAAGUUCAGGUAACACUGAAUGGAGGACCGAACCGACUUACGUUGAAAAGUGAGCGGAUGAACUGAGGGUAGCGGAGAAAUUCCAAUCGAACCUGGAGAUAGCUGGUUCUCUCCGAAAUAGCUUUAGGGCUAGCCUCAAGUGAUGAUUAUUGGAGGUAGAGCACUGUUUGGACGAGGGGCCCCUCUCGGGUUACCGAAUUCAGACAAACUCCGAAUGCCAAUUAAUUUAACUUGGGAGUCAGAACAUGGGUGAUAAGGUCCGUGUUCGAAAGGGAAACAGCCCAGACCACCAGCUAAGGUCCCAAAAUAUAUGUUAAGUGGAAAAGGAUGUGGCGUUGCCCAGACAACUAGGAUGUUGGCUUAGAAGCAGCCAUCAUUUAAAGAGUGCGUAAUAGCUCACUAGUCGAGUGACACUGCGCCGAAAAUGUACCGGGGCUAAACAUAUUACCGAAGCUGUGGAUUGUCCUUUGGACAAUGGUAGGAGAGCGUUCUAAGGGCGUUGAAGCAUGAUCGUAAGGACAUGUGGAGCGCUUAGAAGUGAGAAUGCCGGUGUGAGUAGCGAAAGACGGGUGAGAAUCCCGUCCACCGAUUGACUAAGGUUUCCAGAGGAAGGCUCGUCCGCUCUGGGUUAGUCGGGUCCUAAGCUGAGGCCGACAGGCGUAGGCGAUGGAUAACAGGUUGAUAUUCCUGUACCACCUAUAAUCGUUUUAAUCGAUGGGGGGACGCAGUAGGAUAGGCGAAGCGUGCGAUUGGAUUGCACGUCUAAGCAGUAAGGCUGAGUAUUAGGCAAAUCCGGUACUCGUUAAGGCUGAGCUGUGAUGGGGAGAAGACAUUGAGUCUUCGAGUCGUUGAUUUCACACUGCCGAGAAAAGCCUCUAGAUAGAAAAUAGGUGCCCGUACCGCAAACCGACACAGGUAGUCAAGAUGAGAAUUCUAAGGUGAGCGAGCGAACUCUCGUUAAGGAACUCGGCAAAAUGACCCCGUAACUUCGGGAGAAGGGGUGCUCUUUAGGGUUAACGCCCAGAAGAGCCGCAGUGAAUAGGCCCAAGCGACUGUUUAUCAAAAACACAGGUCUCUGCUAAACCGUAAGGUGAUGUAUAGGGGCUGACGCCUGCCCGGUGCUGGAAGGUUAAGAGGAGUGGUUAGCUUCUGCGAAGCUACGAAUCGAAGCCCCAGUAAACGGCGGCCGUAACUAUAACGGUCCUAAGGUAGCGAAAUUCCUUGUCGGGUAAGUUCCGACCCGCACGAAAGGCGUAACGAUUUGGGCACUGUCUCAACGAGAGACUCGGUGAAAUCAUAGUACCUGUGAAGAUGCAGGUUACCCGCGACAGGACGGAAAGACCCCGUGGAGCUUUACUGUAGCCUGAUAUUGAAAUUCGGCACAGCUUGUACAGGAUAGGUAGGAGCCUUUGAAACGUGAGCGCUAGCUUACGUGGAGGCGCUGGUGGGAUACUACCCUAGCUGUGUUGGCUUUCUAACCCGCACCACUUAUCGUGGUGGGAGACAGUGUCAGGCGGGCAGUUUGACUGGGGCGGUCGCCUCCUAAAAGGUAACGGAGGCGCUCAAAGGUUCCCUCAGAAUGGUUGGAAAUCAUUCAUAGAGUGUAAAGGCAUAAGGGAGCUUGACUGCGAGACCUACAAGUCGAGCAGGGUCGAAAGACGGACUUAGUGAUCCGGUGGUUCCGCAUGGAAGGGCCAUCGCUCAACGGAUAAAAGCUACCCCGGGGAUAACAGGCUUAUCUCCCCCAAGAGUUCACAUCGACGGGGAGGUUUGGCACCUCGAUGUCGGCUCAUCGCAUCCUGGGGCUGUAGUCGGUCCCAAGGGUUGGGCUGUUCGCCCAUUAAAGCGGUACGCGAGCUGGGUUCAGAACGUCGUGAGACAGUUCGGUCCCUAUCCGUCGUGGGCGUAGGAAAUUUGAGAGGAGCUGUCCUUAGUACGAGAGGACCGGGAUGGACAUACCUCUGGUGUACCAGUUGUCGUGCCAACGGCAUAGCUGGGUAGCUAUGUGUGGACGGGAUAAGUGCUGAAAGCAUCUAAGCAUGAAGCCCCCCUCAAGAUGAGAUUUCCCAACUUCGGUUAUAAGAUCCCUCAAAGAUGAUGAGGUUAAUAGGUUCGAGGUGGAAGCAUGGUGACAUGUGGAGCUGACGAAUACUAAUCGAUCGAAGACUUAAUCAA
rnacentral:rRNA from 111 species